CGGGACGGGGGACUCGCGUUGGCCGCCGCUGGCCGGGGCCGCGGGUCUUGGCCGAAGGGUGAAGCGUCUCAUCCCGUGAAAAGUGUCGGACGAGAGCAGACGGCAGGCGCCGGAGAAAGAGGGACUUACUUGUAAGGACGUCCCCUCUGUUACAUUCUGGGGCCGCACACGUGGCAUCUCCUGCAGCUUGGUUGUUGAUGUCCCUGCCUUUGCGUGCCUCUCCACGCUUGUCCUCAUCACAGACCGGCGCGGGCUGCAGGAGCCUCGGCGGGUGGAGGAGCUGCAGAAUUGCAUCGCCAGCUGCCUGAAGGAGCACAUCUCGGCUGUGGCGGGUGAGCCCCAGCCGGCCAGCUGCCUGUCCCGCCUGCUGGGCAAGCUGCCCGAGCUAUGGACCCUGUGCACCCAAGGCCUGCAGCACAUCUUCUACCUCAAGCUGGAGGACUUGGUGCCCCCUCCGCCCAUCGUCAACAAGAUCUUUAUGGAGACGCUGUCCUUCUGACCCCAGCCUAGGGACACGUGUGCACCGUGUGCGCACACUCCUACGCCACCCCACGUGCCUUGAGCCCAUGGACCUUGGAUCCCCCGGAGCACCGCCCCCCGCCGGGGCUGGAGCUGCAGACUGGCCUCCUCAUCUGCUCCGGGAGGUCACCCCCUGGAAGAGGGGGAUGCAUUCAUGGGGGAGACCCCUUCUAUUUGUCUUACCCCCCAUCCCAGCCCUGGCCUUCAUGUUUCUGUAAGAUAAAAACCAUUUUUAACACACACUGCUGUGCUGUAAAUAAGACAAAUGCUGCUGCAAAUACAGGAAGGAAGAGGUUGAGGUUGCAGGGAGGGUGAGAGGAAGGGAUGGGACCCACCAACCUGGGCAAGCCUUUCCCAGUCUCUUCCUACUGACUCUCUCUUGCCACCUCCUUCCAUAUGUACAUAAACUCACUCGAGGAGGAAGACAAAUGACAUUCUGACAUUUAUAUUUGUGUAUUUGCCUGGAUUUAUAGUAUGUGACUUUUCUGAUUAAUAUAUUUAAUAUAUUGAAUAAAAAAUAGACAUGUAGCUG